CCAGAGACCACAAACUAAGGGUGGGGAAAUGAAGGUGUGAGAUGUCCUCAAAUUUCUCAGUACUUGCAGGGAAGUGGCAAUGAGUGAAGAAAAAAGCAUUUGCUUGAGACACGAACAAAGCGUGAAAUAAAGUUCUUCUCAAAUCAAACAGGAUCAUAAGGAAAAACUAUCCAUGCAGGUUAGGGAAGCACCAUGGCCUCUGCUGAUGUAAACCUGGAAAUCCAAAGAGCUGACGAGGAGUCGUUCAGCCUAAACCAAGUUGAGCGGCCUCUGGUGCAACAGUACAAAGCUGUAGAGCUGGUGCCAGAAGUCAAAGGGCCGCUGCACAACCUCCUGCAGAAACAACCUGCUGUGCUGGGGUCUCUGCAGAUGAUGAGCGGGUUCCUCAGUGUCGGAGUGGGGAUUUUCUUCGCUGUGACCCAGGAAAUGAGAGAGUCACUUUUCACCAUGUUCAGACUUUCCCACCUGACUGGAGUGAUCGUA